rnacentral:rRNA from 1 species
UAAUACGAGUGGUGCAAACGUUAUUCGGAAUCACUGGGCUUAAAGGGUGCGUAGGCGGCCAUGAAGGUCUGAUGUGAAAUACCACGGCUCAACCGUGGAAUGGCAUUGGAAACCACAUGGCUGGAGUGAGACAGAGGUGAGCGGAACAGAUGGUGGAGCGGUGAAAUGCGUUGAUAUCAUCUGGAACACCGGUGGCGAAAGCGGCUCACUGGGUCUUUACUGACGCUGAGGCACGAAAGCUAGGGGAGCAAACGGG